UUUUAACUGCAACAAGACCAGUGGCUAUGGACAAAGAGACGGUGCAAGUAAGAGAGGCAGAGGGAAAAAUGGAUGGUAGCAAUAACUUACCUGGGUGUUUAUUUAACAUGAAGAAAGAUGCAGGAUGCUCGACGCUCAUCCAAACCUGUUGACUUCAGGGACUCCCAUUACACCAAGCAGAUCUAAAUUUAACUUCUUCUGUGAUGAAUUUAAAGCUAUAUUCAUCAUAACGGUAACAGUCUGAGACGGAAGAAAAGAGGAACCUAAAGAAAAUGCAUCAGACAAAACAACGAGGCAAGGAAAGGUCUGUACUGGAACACAGUGUUUCAGAAAAGAGUUGAAAGGAAAGCUACAGAGAUAUGAAAUUCUGGGUUUCUUUUUUCCACACUCUAUGCUGUUGUGUGAUAAAAAAAAAAAAUAUUAAAGAUACCAAGGAAUGCACUUAAAAAGAAAAAAAAAUGAUUACGGGGACAUUUUGUUCUGUAGGAUUUUUCUCAGAUCUUGGAAAAAUAGCUGAGCAAAUUGAUUCUAUUACAGUAAUUGCCUACGCCUUGCAGGAUGAACAGCUACCAUUACAAUAUUGGAGUAUUAAUUGGAGUAAUAUGUUUCUAGGGUAUUUUUAAUUAGUUCUACCAACUUGUCUAAUAGUCUUCCUAAAAGCCUCAAAACAUGGCAGAAGGCACAACUGCUGACUCAGGCUCGGAGAGCACCUGCACAAUCUGCUCCAGGAGAAAAACACGUGUGCCAACUGCAGUCCCUUUGGGGUCUGGUCCGGUGUUUGCAGGCAGCCAUUCAGACUCGCCGUGAGAUGGCACAUCUGUGUCCCACCGUCAGAGGAUGACAGCACGUUUAAUACACACCCCACGUCUCCAACAUGAGCAUCCCCACAGGACGCGGAGCGUCUAAAUCUGGUAGUUGGGGCCAAGUCCUAGACCCCAAUGGAAACCCCGAGUCUUGUCAUGGUAAAUGUGUGAAGAGCACGGAGGGAGAGUCCACUCUCCCGGCAGAAGAAGCAGCACCACUUGUAAUGGCUCAAAUGCCAACCUCACUUGCCCUCCAGCACGCGGCGUGAGCCAGGGGGAAGUGUCAUUCCAGAGCAGACAAGAGAGAUGAGACCUCCCUGCAUGGCUGCUCUGUCUCCUCCUCCAUGCCCAGCUCAGCACAGUGGCAAUGGUCCCAAAACCGUCAUUGAAAUGGGGAAGCACAAUGAUGGAGACAACUCCACUUCAUGCCCGCCCAAGCAUCUCAGUGCAGGAUCUGGACAUCCUUCUCAAUAACAGUUUUGCUUUCAUGCUCUUGCCAAACAAAUCCAGUAAAUGGUAUGAGGCGAGGGAGCUUCCCUCAAAGUGUCACCGAUUAUACUAAACUUGACCCCUCCGAGACAUUGGGCCAAAUAACUGUCCUGAUUUUUAUGCCCACUCCCUCUAUCCGUGCAAGAAGUCCCUGGUCUCACGGCAACUCUAGUUGAGACAGACCAUUUCUGCAAGAUGUCGGUGAGCAAACUCAAGCCCUUCUCGGCAAACUCAAGCUCUAGCUCUCAGGCAGGAAGAAGUCAGAAGCAAAUCAGUCUUCAUCUGUUCUGGGGGACAUUUUUUAUGCAAUCAAAUCUCAGUUGCCUAACCGUGAAUCAGCUCUUGAUGCAUGCUUUUUUUCCCUAACCCAUGUCAUUGUUGCAAUGUGGUCUGCUGCUGAUAUAGCACUAUAUCAGUAAUGACGUACAAAGCUGGGGCUGCAAACUAGCAGCAAAGGAAAAUAAACUCUUAAGCAAGAAAGA